AACGUAGGACACAAGCGUUAUCCGGAGUUACUGGGCGUAAAGGGCGUGUAGGCGGACCUAUAAGUCUAUUCUGAAAGCUCCUGGCUAAACUGGGAGAGGCGAAUGGAGACUGUAGAUCUAGAGUGAGGAAGAGGAAAGUGGAAUUCCGCGUGUAGUGGUGAAAUGCGUAGAGAUGCGGAGGAACACCAGUGGCGAAAGCGACUUCCUGGCCAUAUCCUGACGCUGAGGUGCGAAAGCCAGGGGAGCGAACGGG
rnacentral:rRNA from 1 species